ACCUCUCAUGCUGCUACAUUUAUAGUAUCCCCUAGGGUGCGGAGAACCUUUGAUCGGCUUUUGUCCAUACUUUCUCCAAGAAUACUCAUCGGAAGGAAUAUCAGCUAGCUUGUUACUUACCGCAGGUAUUUUGAUUGAUCUCUUUACUCUGUGUUUCCUCUUCUUUGAACAGUGACAUCUUCCACUGCUUCCACAUUUUCCGCUUCCCUCGUCUCCCCUUCCUGAGCACUUCCUCUUGUGUUGGAAUGAGCUCUGAUCCGCUGAGUGUGAAGCCCCAAUUAAAUGAAAGCUAUUACCAUUAGCAACGCUACCGUCCACACUCAAUGAGGAUAUAAAUGACCUAGUCGAAGACAUCGUCGGAGUACAUGUCGAGCUAUCAAAAUUUAGACUAACACCACUAUUGCUUCGCCUGUACAUCAUCUCCGCGGGCUGUUUCAAUUGCUGCUGCUGCUGAAGUAGAAACCUCCGUUGUUGUUGUUGCUGUUGUUGCUGUUGAAGAUAGUUAUAGCUCGGGAAAGGCGUUUGUUGGCCAAAAUUAAGGGGGUUUCUACUAUUUGAACUUAAUUCCAGAGAAGGGCUACCUAAAGUUAGAUUACAUUUCACAUUAGCACCCAUCUCUAGGACUCGGUUUUCAGGAGUGUCGAUAGGAAGUAACCUAAGAGCUUUCGCCUGAUCAUCGAUUUUGCAAUUCGGAUUUUCAACAAGGAUGUUAUGAGGUAAAGGGGUCAUGAAUUUGUUGGAUUUCCUCACUCUUGCAUGACCUAAAGUUGAAUUCAAAAGAGUGACAACUUUCUUGAACUUGUGUACAGCUUCUCCAGUUUCUCUAACUAAAUUUGUGUACGAAUUCUGAUCAUGUGUCCUAGAUGAUAAAAGACUAAUCACUCUAUGACAAUUUUCAACUGCAGCCUUGUUAACUUCUUCUAUUUCCUCCAUUUCACCUCUCUCAACCCCUAAAAAACGCAAAAAAUCCGCAAACUCAAACAAGUACUACUAUUGCUAAACCUCAGGCUCAAACAAGUUAGGAUCAGCUAUACGAACACUCAUUACUUCAUUUAAGCUCAACCCAAACCACACAAAAGGAACAAAGACAAAACACUAUCCCCCCUCAAAAAACCGCCAAUAAGAAUUUGGUUCUUUUGCGAAUCUAUAAAUUCAUUUCAGCCAAUUGAACAUUCUUGAACUGUUUCUUUUCAAGGACCAAAAAGAUUCUUACAUAGAUAGAGAUAACCAAAAAAAGGGCAGAAAGAGUUGCCCCCAAAACACAAGAACAACUACACAUCCCCUCAAAAACAAAAAUAAAACUCAAGAUACACAACUUAAAUCAACCUGAAAAUUAUGGAAAAGGGAAAAAAGAAGAAAAACAGAAGCAAUAUACACCCAUUUAUAGUUUUAAAAAAAUAACACAAAAAAAGGGGGUUCUUGUAAUGAAAUUUCAAGAAACCAAACUCAACAAAGAAACCAUACUCAAACAACAAGCUUUUACAUCAAGAAUGAAAAUUAACAGAAAAUAAAA
rnacentral:misc_RNA from 1 species